GUGGGGAAUAUUGGACAAUGGGCGAAAGCCUGAUCCAGCCAUGCCGCGUGUGUGAAGAAGGUCUUCGGAUUGUAAAGCACUUUAAGUGGGGAGGAAGGGCAGUAAGUUAAUACCUUGCUGUUUUGACGUUACCGACAGAAUAAGCACCGGCUAACUUCGUGCCAGCAGCCGCGGUAAUACGAAGGGUGCAAGCGUUAAUCGGAAUUACUGGGCGUCAAGCGCGCGUAGGUGGUUUUGUAAGUUGGAGGUGAAAUCCCCGGGCUCAACCUGGGAACUGCCUCCAAAACUGCAUGACUAGAGUACGGUAGAGGGUAGUGGAAUUUCCUGUGUAGCGGUGAAAUGCGUAGAUAUAGGAAGGAACACCAGUGGCGAAGGCGACUACCUGGACUGAUACUGACACUGAGGUGCGAAAGCGUGGGGAGCAAACAGGAUUAGAAACCCGGGUAGUCC
rnacentral:rRNA from 1 species